UGUCAUCAAUUGUGCGCGCUCCGACGA
rnacentral:sRNA from 1 species